UACGAGGGGGGCGAGCGUUGUUCGGAAUUAUUGGGCGUAAAGGGUGCGUAGGCGGUUUGGUAAGUCUGAUGUGAAAUCUAUGGGCUCAACUCAUAGUCUGCAUCGGAAACUGCCGGGCUUGAGUAUGGGAGAGGUGAGUGGAAUUCCUGGUGUAGCGGUGAAAUGCGUAGAUAUCAGGAGGAACACCGGUGGCGAAGGCGGGUCUCUGGGCCGAUACUGACACUGAGAAGCGAAAGCGUGGGGAGCGAACAG
rnacentral:rRNA from 1 species